rnacentral:rRNA from 1 species
GAGUUUGAUCCUGGUUCAGGAUGAACGCUGGCGGCGUGCCUAACACAUGCAAGUCGAGCGGUAUAUACUUUAUCAAAUCUUCGGAAGAGAGACGGUAUAGAGAGCGGCGGACGGGUGAGUAACGCGUAGGCAACCUGCCCCAUACAGAGGGAUAGCCUCGGGAAACCGGGAUUAAAACCUCAUAACGCCAAGAGUUCACAUGGACUUUUGGCCAAAGAUUUAUCGGUAUGGGAUGGGCCUGCGUCUGAUUAGCUAGUUGGUGGGGUAACGGCCUACCAAGGCAACGAUCAGUAGCCGACCUGAGAGGGUAAUCGGCCACAUUGGAACUGAGACACGGUCCAAACUCCUACGGGAGGCAGCAGUGGGGAAUAUUGCACAAUGGGCGAAAGCCUGAUGCAGCAACGCCGCGUGAGCGAUGAAGGCCUUUGGGUCGUAAAGCUCUGUCCUUGGGGAAGAAAAAAAUGACGGUACCC